UUUUAAAUUCUAAUUUAAUAGAAGUCAAGUUAUGGUCUGAGAGAUAACUUAAAAAUGGUAAGUUAUUUAGGAACAAGAUAAAAGGCAAAACACCAAACUUCAUACAAACUUAAAUGUUUGACAUUUAAAAAUUAAAGAGAUUUUUUUUAACGUGUAUUUGAGACAAAUAAGCCAACCUUGGUACAUAACCGCUGAAAACUAAAAAACCGUACCCUAAACCAACACAGGUGGAUAGGUCGAGUAGACUAAGGUGUAUGAGAUAAUUAUGUUGAAGGAACUCGGCAAAAUGACUCUGUAACUUCGGGAGAAAGAGUACCUUUUUAUUUAAGUGUUUAUCGACGAAAUAAUAAGAAG
rnacentral:rRNA from 1 species